UUCAAUAAAGUAUGUAUCUUAUCUUAUCAUCUUUUCUGUAAGAUUCAGAAUAGAAUUAAUAGAACAAUCUUCCUCCUCACCUAUAAAGCUCUUCAUGGUCAGGCCCCUUCAUAUCUUAAAGAGCUCAUAGUACCCUAUUACCCCUCUAGAACACUACGUUCUCUGAAUGCAGGGCUACUUGUGGUUCAACCCAGUCUCACGGAAAUACAUGACACUGUCACGUAUUUCAAUCUAUUGGUUCGUGGUCUGGGACACGAAAUUUCCAAGCAUGAUUUUCAAACUCAUGUAUUUCAAUUGGAAGUAUUUUUUGUGUCACUAAGCACGACUUUCAAACUCAUGUUCUGUCUGGGAGCUUUCUCCCUAGUGUCCCUUAAGGGACUCCGUACAGAUAAUUUAUUGUUUAUUUUUUUAAAUUGUGUCCGUCACUGGACAGGAUAUAAGCAAGAAACCAGAGCGGCGUAUUUACCGAUACAAACAAUAUUAGCCCACAAAAGCGUACUUAGUCCCCACAAUAUUCAUAAAUGCUAUCCAACGGUCCAAAUAGUCAAUCUCCCCACAAAACUCCACAAAAGAAGGAAAGGGGAUGAUUUAGGUAACUUGUUUCAAAAAGCGUGGGAUGAAGUCUUUUAUGAACCGUAGCUCAUAUCAAUAAACUGGUUGUGCUGGGCAGUAGCCUGCGUUUAGAGUGAUCAUAUUGGGCAUUUUCCUACAUGUGAAUCAAGAUCAAAUCUAUGAAAACGAAGGUAACAGGAAUUACUUUUUAAAUGAACAUGUUUUGCUUUUACAGCGCAUCUCAGUUAACGUGCUCUGUAACACAUUGUAUUCUAAGCGGCUCUCAGAAUAAAUGAAUAAAAAAGUAAUAUCAUUCAGACAGCUGGGUCUAUUCAUUCGUCUCAAUUACAAAAGCAUCACCCUUUACUUUUAAUGAUAUCUGUAAAAGUUGACAGCGACUUACUGACUUCGUUACCCAUGAGCAUUCUCUGCCGUUGCCAUGGUGAAGACGCAAGCUAUCUGGUGGCGUAAGCACUGUCGCCAGUUUUAGCGGGAUUUCGCUCUUUCGCUCCCGAACUCCUGUUAAGAUAAGUUGUAUGACUAUACGUCUGCUAUAUGUUUUGUUUAAUAUGAUAAAUUACUUGGUUUAAAUAUUAGGGCGAAGAUUAAAUCCCCACCAGUGAUUCACCAUUGGUCAGCAUACAUGAAAAAGGGAAACUCUUGAAAUUAAUGUAACCUUGCUAGCUGGAUAGCUAGCGUUCAUUAUAAACUAACACAAUACAGCAUUAUCGUUAUAUCCAAUGAAUUGUAGCGUUGAGCAUUAAGCAGAUGUCAUAACUAUGACUGUAAUAAUGUGUGAGUAAAUGAAUUGUGUGAGCUCAUCUAGAGUUGUCAUUUCAUCUGUCACUGUGGAUCACUUUUAAGUGAACUGUUUUGGGUUUUACUUUGCUCUGUGUUAAGUUGUGUAGGAAACAAGUAAGGGGCUGUCUUUGAACAAUUUAUUAUGCUCUCAUGGUGCUUUCCCGGUCUUAUAGAAUUAUUAAAGUCCGCCAUAGAGAUAAAGAAAAACCCACUAAAAUAAGUACGGUACAACAAAACCCUCCCUACUUCUGGUCUUCCGUGCGGUCCUUCAAAAUAAAAGUCUGCUUCAGAGUAAAACAUACCGUAGCAAGGGAUGAAUGAUGAACGGUUUAAAGGUAAACCAUGGUAGGAUUCCUGACAGUUAAUAUUAGGCUACCGUUUCAAAACUUAAUUCAUUAAUCAUUAAAACCGUGAUAACUGUGUGAUAUGACACUUUCACAGUAAAUUUGUCCAGAAUCAACCAGAGUUAAUAACACCCUCCCAGCCACAGGUGCAGUGUGAGGUAAUGUUAAUGUAUAUCUGAUAUGGUUUUCUUAUCAUUAGGUAUUGGCAGUGUUGGGC
rnacentral:lncRNA from 15 species